GAUGCUUCAAGAGCAAAUUACUCUUGAUGAGUCAUUUUACAAACUGCAUUGCUCCCACCUUCGUGCUCCUGUCACCGGAACAUCAUUCACAGACACAGUUACUGACGGUGGGGGUGGGGUGAGAUGACCCCAGGCUCAUCCUGGGCCAGAAACUCUGAGGAGGAAAAAACUGGAAAAAUCUGGACCCAGUGAAUGGCCCCAGGCUAUUUUACAGGGGUGAGGCGGUAGAUUCAGGACCGCUCCGUUCUUGCAUCCAACAGGGGCGCAGACAAGUUUAGACCCAAGGAUCUUUGCCGUGACACGUGUACCACCACCACCACCACCGGGAGGUGUGAGCCCACCCGUGGGGGAGAAGGUGGAGUGUGGGUCCCUCCCGCGGGAUGCGAGGCAGCGGCUUUUUAGGGACAGAGAACCCUGAAGUCAUGUAGUGGUGGCUUGGCUUGCUUUUGAACUUGAAGUGUGUGCCCUCUAAUUAGGACUCUUCUGUGGUAUUUGCCCGUCAACGUGGUGUUGCAGAGACUGAUCGGGACCAGCGCACAGAGCGGAGCUCCGCUGUCUGAACGCGCCCGCGGGGUCUGCGCUCUCACCGGGGGCGCCGGGACUCCCCGUCUGCUGCCACGAUGGACAAUUCUGCUCUACUCCUGCCCGGGUCUGGACGGCACACACCUUGGGCUGGGACUUCUGGGCAGUAGGAGGCCUGUGUCCAGCUACACUCGGACAUGCUGCGCCAUUUUCUAGACCGGUUUUAUCACUGUGCCCUCCCGCCGACCCCAGCGCUACAGUCGGCCAUCGUGCUCCAACCCUCUGCCAUAUGAUACUGUCUAACUUUUGAACAUUUCCCAACACAGCGGCAGGAAGUGGGAUCUCUUGCUGCUUUUAAUUUGCAUUGCUCUCAGUAUUCACAACGCUGAGCAUCUUUCUGCAUGCGUGUGGGCCAUUUAUGCCCUGUCUAGUUCCCCCCGCCACUUUGUAGCAAAGGCCAGCAAUCCUUUUCUCUAAAGAGCCAGAUUGCCCAUUUUUGUGGAUCUGUGGGCUGCCGUUGUAGUCCCAAGGAAGCCAUAAACAAUAUGUAGAUGAAUGGGUGUGGCUGU